UAGUAACGGCGAGUGAAGCGGCAACAGCUCAAAUUUGAAAUCUGGCCUUCGGGCCCGAGUUGUAAUUUGUAGAGGAUGCUUUUGGUGAGGUACCUUCCGAGUUCCCUGGAACGGGACGCCAUAGAGGGUGAGAGCCCGUCUGGUUGGAUACCAAUCCUCUGUAAAGCUCCUUCGACGAGUCGAGUAGUUUGGGAAUGCUGCUCUAAAUGGGAGGUAUAUGUCUUCUAAAGCUAAAUACCGGCCAGAGACCGAUAGCGCACAAGUAGAGUGAUCGAAAGAUGAAAAGCACUUUGAAAAGAGAGUUAAAAAGUACGUGAAAUUGUUGAAAGGGAAGCGCUUAUGACCAGACUUGGGCUUGGUUGAUCAUCCUGGGUUCUCCCUGGUGCACUCUUCCAGUUCAGGCCAGCAUCAGUUCGCUGCGGGGGAUAAAAGUUUUAGGAAUGUGGCUCCCUCGGGAGUGUUAUAGCCUAUUGCAUAAUACCCUGCUCCGGACUGAGGUUCGCGCAUCUGCAAGGAUGCUGGCGUAAUGGUCAUCAGCGACCCGUCUUGAAACACGGACCAAGGAGUCGUCUUCGUAUGCGAGUGUUCGGG
rnacentral:rRNA from 1 species